rnacentral:rRNA from 1 species
AGAGUUUGAUCAUGGCUCAGAAUCAACGCUGGCGGCGUGCCUCAGACAUGCAAGUCGAACGCGAAAGGCCCCUUCGGGGGCCGAGUAGAGUGGCGCACGGGUGAGUAACACGUAGGUAAUCUACCUCUGGGUGGGGAAUAACAGCCGGAAACGGCUGCUGAUACCGCAUAAUGCAGCGGCACCACAUGGUGACAGUUGUUAAAGCGGGGGAUCGUAAGACCUCGCGCCUAGAGAUGAGCCUGCGGCAGAUUAGCUAGUUGGUAGGGUAACGGCCUACCAAGGCUUCGAUCUGUAGCCGGCCUGAGAGGGCGGACGGCCACACUGGCACUGACACACGGGCCAGACUCCUACGGGAGGCAGCAGUCGGGAAUUUUGGGCAAUGGGCGAAAGCCUGACCCAGCAACGCCGCGUGAAGGAUGAAGCUUUUCGGAGUGUAAACUUCAUAAGAAUGGGACGAAUAAAAAAGGGCUAAUACCCCUUUUGAUGACGGUACCAUUUGUAAGCUCCGGCUAACUCCGUGCCAGCAGCCGCGGUAAUACGGGGGGAGCAAGCGUUGUUCGGAUUUACUGGGCGUAAAGGGCGCGUAGGCGGCGCGACAAGUCACUUGUGAAAUCUCCCGGCUCAACCGGGAGCGGCCAAGUGAUACUGUCGCGCUGGAGUGCAGAAGGGGCGACCGGAAUUCUCGGUGUAGCGGUGAAAUGCGUAGAUAUCGAGAGGAACACCUGCGGCGAAGGCGGGUCGCUGGGCUGACACUGACGCUGAGGCGCGAAAGCUAGGGGAGCGAACGGGAUUAGAUACCCCAGUAGUCC